GCUAAAUUCAUUGAGAGAAGCAAGUUGUAUGGUUACAUACUUGCCACGUAUAUUUCUAAUAGUCUUUAUCACACAUCCUAUCCUAUAUUUUCAAUUACCCUCAUUUUUCUCUACUCAGACUCCUUCUCAACAAUCUCUAAGACUCACAAACAACUUGUGAAGAACCAAAAAAUACUGCGGUGGACGAUGGUGAUGGACGACGGCGGUGAACGAAGGUGAUGGACGGUGGCAAAUGGACGACAGCGGUAGAUAAAGGCUGCGGGUGACGACUAAGGCGUAGAUGAAGGAGGCUUAGUAUACACGUGGUAUAGCAUGUUUAACUCACUAGUCUUCAAUAUAGAUGAUGAAGAACCCGUUGUUCAUUAACUGCGUUGUUCAUUAACUGCUAUGACCCGUUCUGACCCGUUGGUCACAUGCUAAAAACCCAUUUUGACCCGCUUUUUCAAAUCAAGAAAUUGUUGGAUGUCCAGGUUGACCCGUCCUUUACUUUUGCUAUACCCAAAUGAACCCGAAGGUAGAAAAAAAA